rnacentral:sRNA from 1 species
UGAACAUUUCCUCCUUCAAGUGCACAGGAA